CUGCAGUCAAUUUAAGACAACUGUGCUUUUCCCUCGAGGGAUGAACCCUGUGUGCAAUGCCUGCAGACAACAGCCCUCCUUGGUAGUUUUCCUGUUGCCUCUUGUCUGUGUGGAUUGCCCUAAGGAAACUUGAAGACUGAG
rnacentral:snoRNA from 1 species